GCGCUCGCUUUGGCAGCACAAAUACUAAAAUUGGAACGAUACAGAGAAGAUUAGCAUGGCCCCUGGGCAAGGAUGACAUGCAAAUUCGUGAAGCUGUCCAUAUUUUU
ensembl:snRNA U6 U6 spliceosomal RNA